CCCUUAGAUGUCCUGGGCCGCACGCGUGCUACACUGAUGCAUACAGCGAGUACUCCCAGCUCCGAGAGGCUGCUGGUAAUCAGCAAUAUGCAUCGUGAUGGGGAUAGAUCUUUGGAAUUAUAGAUCUUGAACGAGGAAUUCCUAGUAAUCGCAGGUCAUCACCCUGCGUUGACUAAGUCCCUGCCCUUUGUACACACCGCCCGUCGCUCCUACCGAUUUCGAGUGAUCCGGUGAAUCAUUCGGACCGCGGCCCCUAGGCAUGCGGAAAGUCUAGUAAACCAUGUCACUUAGAGGAAGGAGAAGUCGUAACA
rnacentral:rRNA from 1 species